AGGUCCGUCCUCCUUUUCCUUUCUAUGUUAUGAGUGACUAUCUGUUUAUGUAUUGUAUGUAUGUAUGAAUGCAUGUGGGUAUCUGGAUUCUAGUUGAUUCGUUGAUGAAAAGACGACGUUGUCCUUCGGUGCUAGUGGUAAUUCUUUGAUUUUUAGCUCUUGACUCUGAAUAAAUUCUUUAUGAUCAAAUCAGCCGUUUAUCAGGUUUUUCUUUUGACUUUUCUGUUAUUAACUUCCUUUUCGCGUUAUUUUGUUGGUAAUUUUGAGAAUAGUAAGGGCAUUACAGUCUUUUGAUUUUGGAUUUGUUACCCUGCUGUAGUGCUGUUGGGUAAGAUUGUUGUUUUAAAGUUUUUUCGCAAUCUUUUUUUUUCCCUUGUUCUUUUUGGUCGGUGAGAGUUGUAGAGAUUAAAAUCUCAUCUGCGUAUUAGUUGGUUUCCCUUGAGAUGAGGGAAGGUGGUGAAAAAUUUUCAGUAUUAGUGAUAUACUGAUUUUGUACUUUUUUUCAUUUAAUUUUGCUUUGUUAGGACACUUUUGUAAUCCAUGUUGAUAACUGAGAUAUGAUGCUAGAUAUGGAUUCUGCUUAUGGGCCAUGGCUGGCAGUUGUUAUCAUUAUGUUUCUAGCAACUCUUUGGAACAUUUCAUUUGUUAGAACUAAAAUAAAUGCAAAUUAUCUUAUUUAUUAGUAGUUUAUAUUUGUGUAUUUGGAUCGUCUGACUUUAGCGGUAAUUUGUGGAUUGAAGUUUUGGGAUAAAAAUUGCUUUUGAUGAUCUUAAUUAUUGUCAGAAAUGUUUUUCCCCCCUCCCCUUUUUCAUUCCUUGUAGAAUUUAGACUUAGGCUUAAAGAAAACAUGGGUUCAGGCAUUUCCAGGUUUGUUAUUGAUAUUUAUCAUUUUUGGUUCUUCCCUCAUUAAUUGGUCCAUCUAAUCUUGAGAUUUAAGCAGUCAUUGAUUACUCAUAUUCCAUGACAACCAGCCCAUCUUAAAAUUCUUCUUUUGCAUAGCAUUGGUUAUAAUUGUACUUGAGAAUUGAAAGCUUCCUUUAGUUGAUUUCUACUUAAAAAUAUUAUGGAUUUCCAGGGAUGUCAAUUUCAUCGUGUCAUCAAAGGUUUUAUGGUCCAAGGUGGAGAUAUCUCUGCAGGAGAUGGUACUGGUGGUGAAUCUAUUUAUGGCCUGAAAUUUGAGGAUGAGAAUUUCAAAUUGAAACAUGAAAGAAAAGGCAUGUUAUCUAUGGCCAAUGCAGGUGCCAAUACAAAUGGAUCACAAUUCUUUAUAACAACCACACGUACAUCUCAUUUGGAUGGGAAACAUGUUGUAUUUGGAAAGGUUGUUAAAGGGAUGGGAGUUGUUCGUUCAAUUGAGCAUGCCACUACUGGUGAUGAUGGUGAUUGUCCUGCUGUUGAUGUUUUAAUUGCUGAUUGUGGGGAGAUUCCUGAGGGGGCAGAUGAUGGGAUAUCUAAUUUCUUCAAGGAUGGUGAUAUUUAUCCUGAUUGGCCAGCUGACCUUAAUGAUAGUCCUAAUGAACUUUCUUGGUGGAUGGAUGCUGUGGAUUCCAUCAAGGCUUUUGGAAAUGAUCACUACAAGGUAAUUGAUUUCAUGAUAUGGUAUGGGCUUUGCUUUAUUGUUUAAUUUUGUUUUUCCAAAGUCUACUGUGGAUGGUAAUUUAGUAAUCAAAUUGUGCUUUUGGACAAUUGUUUUGCUUACAAUCUACUUUGGCAGAAGAUGAAGGAAUUUAGGCUGCCUUUUUUCUUUUUUGGCUUCUUUUCAUUUUUCUUUGUUUUUACCCCCUCAACACAUUUCUUAUGUUAAUAAAAUACUCAGUAACUAUUAAUUACAGAAACAAGACUUUAAGAUGGCUCUUAGAAAAUAUCGCAAGGCUUUACGGUAUCUGGAUAUCUGCUGGGAGAAAGAUGGGAUUGAUGAAGAGAAAAGCUCAUCUCUGAGAAUGACAAAGUCACAGAUAUUCACAAACAGUGCUGUAAGUUCUUGUUUUCACUAUUUUCUAGAUAGUUUUGACUACUACUGACUGCUAAUAACUUGGCAAGGUAUGUCAUCAGGAAAGUGAUUUGCAAUUGGAGCACUGGAAAUACAAAUGUCAAAAUGUUUUUUAUUUUAUUGCCGCUUUACUUCUGGUGCUACAUGAGAAAUCUGACUUUCAUGUUCUGGGGCAUUUUUAUUGUUUGAUAAUACUGCAAUGGAUAUUCGAGUGCAAAUUUUUGCCAGAAUGAUAAAAGAUGCAUUGAAGGGGAGUAUGAUGUCGUAGUAAUAUUCAUUAUCUGAUAAUAGCUGUUGUAUAGUGAUAUCACACUUGGUUUUCAAAAUGUUGGCUGGAUCUCUUUCUCAUUCAAAUAUUGCUUUUCUCAAACAGCUGAUGUUAUGCAUUUUAUAGGCUUGCAAGUUAAGAUUGGGUGAUCUGAAAGGAGCAUUGUUGGACACUGAUUUUGCGAUGCGUGAAGGAGAUAAUAAUGUGAAAGCUUUAUUUCGCCAGGGACAGGCACACAUGGCUCUUAAUGAUAUUGAUGCUGCUGUUGAAAGCUUCAAGAAGGCAUUGCAGCUGGAGCCAAAUGAUGGUUAGUAAUAAAACAGGCCUCUUUAUUGCAUAUGAUUUUUUUUGGUCUUAUGUAUAAUGUAUUCGCACAUCUGAUUUGUCAAUUUUAGCUGUUACAUAGGUUGGAUACUUUAACUAGUUUAGCUAAAAUGAGAAGGUCUAAAAAGUAGUCAAUCUGUUAUUUAAAUGGAAUCUGCUGAAACUGGUUGAUGGUUUAAUUUUUGAUAUUUGGUGCUUCUCAGCUGGAAUAAAAAAGGAGCUUGCAGCUGCUAGGAAGAAGGUUGGUAGAUUAAAUUAAAUCUGUUACAUCUUAUAGCAACAAAUGCUUAUGUUCAGCCGGGUAAUGAACAUUUCAACUUCUUACAGAUUAACGAUAGGCGUGAUCAGGAGAAAAAGCAGUAUCGGAAGAUGUUCCAAUAGUACUUACCUUUCCAAUUGGUAUGUGAAUUGAUCUUUUGAAAAUUAUUUUCCCCCCUUGUUGCUUAAAAUUGGGAAUUGCCAAGUGAUGGUUUUGAUACAGGCUGCUGAUUUCUUAAAUGUUCAAAGCAUCAGAUUUCUUGUGAUAUUUCAUAGGGUGGUGGACUCAACUGGUUCAGGCCUUUUUUUGUUACAAAACUCUGUUAUUCUGGAGUGAGUAUUAGGUAUUUGGCAUUCAGCUUCUGCAUUUUGUAUAUUUUUUUCUUAGUUCAAGCACGUUGACAAAUUAACCUUUUUUGACAUGCAAUCUUGUAUGCUUGAUUCUUCUUUACUUAAGGGCUACAUGGAAUGCAUCCUUCUGAUAUUCCAUCUUUUACUUUUUCAGGUUUUGUUAGAGAGCAGGAGAAUCUUAGCGAAGUCAAACUGUAAAAAUCAGAUGCUUGAACCAAUUCUUGUUAGAGUUUCCAUGGACGUUCAAUUAGGAAAGUAGGUUUAGUGAAACUUGAAACUGGUUUAUAUGGAGGAAUUACUACUUCUUGUUGUCAUGUUCCAGGAAAAAUUUGAGAAUAAAAGAAAAACGUUUUUGACUUUAGCCAGACGAGUAUUUUCUUUUCUUUUAAUGGUGGGGUAAUCUUUUGGGCUAUUUCAUCUAUCAUCUGUCAAGAAUAUUAGUUGCAUUAAUUUAGCCUGUUGAUAAUAUUCCAG
rnacentral:misc_RNA from 1 species